GACGGGGGAUGCAAGUGUUAUCCGGAAUGAUUGGGCGUAAAGCGUCUGUAGGUGGUUUACCAAGUCUGUUGUUAAAAACCAGGGCUUAACCCUGAUCCGGCAACAGAAACUAGUAAGCUAGAGUACGGUAGGGGCAGAGGGAAUUCUCGGUGUAGUGGUGAAAUACGUAGAUAUCGAGAAGAACACCAAUAGCGAAAGCACUCUGCUGGGCCGAAACUGACAUUGAGAGACGAAAGCUAGGGGAGCAAAAAGG
rnacentral:rRNA from 1 species